GGAAACACAGACGAAGAUCCAGAACAGUGCUGUUCAAUGGAACAUUAUGUAACAAUGGAAACGUUCUAUGCCUUGCUGCCCAGUCCUGUGGCCGCUAGUAACGCAUACGAAUGGGCACCUGAAAUGUGCCUGGUGGGACCGAGCGAUUGAAUGCUAAUUCCGUUUAGUGCGGUCCCCCGACUGGAUCCUGGGACAGUAGUGGAAACACUGCUGAAAUCUGAAUGGAGCCUGGAGUGAGUGGGGAGUGACGUCACGGAGUGUUAGUUCUGGCAGGUGGACCACAGUAACGUUUUUCCUAGACGUUAAAGUCAGACACUUAUACCUUCUCUGAUCAAGGACAAGAGCAUACUUGAACCCUUGUUGGUUCCGGCCUUCGUAUGUUUGGGAACCGCAGCUGGAGAGGAGGCAAGCUCUUCAGCUGCUCGGAAGCACGAUGGGAAGCGAAGAGCACUCGAGAGCAUGCAUCCUGGGGGCCAACAAACCUUCAUUCUGCAUCCCAUUUCUACCACAUCCUGGCUGCAAGAAUCUGGAGAAAACCUGCUCAUGCUUCCGUGAACCUCCGUUUUCUAAUCUGUAAAACGUGAAUGAUGAUUCUCACAGUGCUGGGGGAAGAAGUGUGCUUGAAAUUAAAGCAUUCAUUCUUAAGACCUGAUACACCCUGACAACUACCAUUUCCUGACACCCACCGUUAAUCUCCCAAGUGGAAGAAUCUUGAACCACAUACUGGUUGAGCUAGGAAACGGGGAGAAAAAAGACCUAACUCUCAACGACUUAAUUUUGAGACUCCAGCCAGAAAUUACAUAGCAACAGUAAACCCAAACCUGAGAAAAGUCUGGAACCUCUGUUUUGGGUCCCAGUUUUGUCCUUGGUAAAAGUCCAUAGGUAUUGAGGCUAAAGGUCAGCAUUUCCUGAUAGGAAAAGGAAACCUUGGGAUCAGUCAGUGUGUCUGUUUCAAUAGGAGCAUCACAGGAACCUAAUGAGGUCUUCCAGCUGUGUCAGGACCAUCAAACAAAGUGCAGGGAACGUAAGUGCAUCAUGACUCUCUGGGUUUUGGGGCUGACGGCAGCCACACCAGCCCCAGGGCCACGUGACAUCUGCCUUCCUGAGCAUUGUCCCUGCCGUGAGUAAAUAAUGGCUCCUUAAUCAAAACCAGACUGCGCCUCUUGGCCCAGCCAGCACCUCGCCGGCACCAGCCUUCCCCUCUGCCUGUGAGCUUUUGAGCCGGGGGUCCAGGGGGUCUUUGUCUACACGUUCCAAAGCCAGCUUCUUAGAGAGCUGCCUCUGUCUAGUUUCCUUCUCGGCACCAGCCAGCCCGUCUGUCGGAGGGCAGCAGGAAGUGGGGAGGCAAGAUGCUGAGGACCACCUCUCUGUCCCCAAUCCCAAGGGCCUGCUGGCCAUCUCUGGCCCUGCUCCGUUCUGUGGGAUUAUUCCAAGGCUGGGAUGUAGGGUGUGAGGAGAGAAUUUGAGAAGCAUUUGCUUCUGUGCUUUCUGGAAUACCCUUAAUGGUGGGGGAGAGUGAAGACACGCUCUUUUCUUAAAUAACACAAUUGACUGACUAAACCAUGUUAAACUCAGCUGACUUCAUGCCAGCUGGUCCUAUUGUCCUGGUGUGGGUGGCAGGGCUCGUGGAGCCAACCAGAAUGGCGUGAAGCAGCCUCCAGCAUCAGCCGCUUGGACCAGAAAUUCCAGCAACCCCUCGCCCCACCCCCAGGAGGGCUGCAGAGUCGCUGGGGUCUGCUGGACCACUUUCUCUGCUUCUUCUGAGACAAGAAGCUGGCAUCAGACCUUCUUUCCUGAGGGGGGCCUGGGCCCACCUGCGCAUUCCAAGGAGAGCCCUGCUUUCUCUGGGCUCCCGUUGGUACCCAAGGACCGACUGGCAGGAUCUGGCCAGCACGCAGCCCCUCCAGCAGGACCUCGGUCCCUGCCUCUGCAGGAGACACGAGUGGACAGACUGGGUCACCCCCUCUCACUGAGACUGGCGAUCCCACCUCCCACCUCCCCAUCUCCAGUGCCCACCUCGCGCUCUCCUGCGUCACUUCUGGCAGAACCGUCUCCCCUUGCUUGCUUGUUUGCCUGCCGAAGUGCCCGCCCUGGGGCUAUAGCACUGAGCAGCCCCCCAUCGCAAUUAGGAACUGCCUUUGAAGACAUGAACGUGAAAAAUUUGUGUCCAACCUCUGAGUAUGCCCCUCUUGUGCAUCCCUGGCAAUGUCACUCUCCACAAACUUAUUCACCUUUCUGCCUCAGUUUGUUCAUCUGUAAAAUGGGGAUAAUAGUACCCAUCUCACUGGCUCAUUGUGAGGAUUAAAUAAGUGAUAUUUUAUGAAGCACUGAGAACAGCGCUCGGCACCGUAGGUUGUGGUUGGCUAAAGAAAACCCCAUUAAAUCCUCACGGAAGGACUGUUGUCCUGCUCUUACUAAUAAGGGAACAGAGCUGGGGUCUCUGUGCCUCACAGAUCACGUAGUAAGGGGCAGGCUCCGAAUCCAACUUCUGAGCCCAGGCAGUCAGACUCCAGUGUCCGCCGCGCGCCCCGUUGAAUAUCGUGCCUCGCUGGUUUGAUGGUGACUUGGCGCAAGAUGGUUUUUGUCUCUGAACGUGAUCAUUUUGUGUUCUGCAGCCACACGAUCCAUCAACCUCAACACUAUCCCUUCAGACGACUGACCUGUUAGCCCAGGACUCCUCGGCCAGUCUACUGUCCUAUGAUUACCAACGAUAAACAAUGGCUUCAGCUUUCCACCAGUCCGUUAAACAGCGGGUGGCGAGAGCUGAUGUCUUAGGAAGGUGGACCGUGUUAAUCCCAGCCCCGUGCCAACUGGUCGUAUUGGAACAACUAACGUUUAUAUUGGACUUACUAGGUGUCGAGCACUCUUCUAAGGUCUUUGCAUGUGUAGCUUCUCUGGGCCUCGAUUUCCCCAUCUGCGAUACGGGAAGGGGGCGUUGUUUCGAGGAUUGAGUUCACUUGUCUGAGUUGCACAUAGUAAGAGGCAGAACUAGAUGUUGAGGCCUGGCCUUCUGGCUCCUGGUCUGUGCUCCUGACCAGCCCUCUUGGGACCAGCGAGCAUCCCCCCCCCAACCCUUCGUCUCCAAGUCUUCUCUGAAAGCCAAGUGCACCACGGGGCCCGGGCGAGAUGGGUGCGUCUGGCAGCGGGCAGUGCGUUUGUUAUUCCUGCCCCACCUGCUGGAGUGAGGGUGGCUUGGUCUGAAGAGGACAUUGAG
ensembl:lncRNA